rnacentral:rRNA from 1 species
GACGAACGCUGGCGGCGUGCCUAAUACAUGCAAGUAGGACGCAGUUGCGAACGGGUGAGUAACGCGUAGGUAACUGCCUAUUAGAGGGGGAUAACUAUUGGAAACGAUAGCUAAUACAGCAUACUAGUAGAUGGACCUGCGGUGUAUUUGUUAGUAGGUAGGGUAAUGGCCUACCUAGGCGGCGAUACAUAGCCGACUCUAGAGGGGGGUCGGGCACAAGGGGGCUGAGACACGGCCCAGACGCCUAAGGGAGGCAGGCGUUGGGAAUCUUUGGAAAUGGGGGGAACCCUGAUCGAGCCAAUCCGCGGGAGUGAAGAAGGUUUUCGGGUCGUAAAGCUAUGUUGUUAAGGAAGCGGUACUUAACCAGAAAGGGACGGCUAACUACGUGCCAGCAGCCGCGGUAAUAC